CCUACGGUGUGCAGCAGUGGGGAAUAUUGGGCAAUGGAGGCAACUCUGACCCAGCAACGCCGCGUGAAUGAUGAAGGUCGUCGGAUUGUAAAGCUCUGUGAUGGGGGAUGAACACAAUGACGGUACCCCAAUAGCAAGCUACGGCUAACUACGUGCCAGGAGCCGCGGUAAUACGUAGGAGGCAAGCGUUAUUCGGAAGGACUGGGCGUAAAGGGUGAGUAGGUGGAUUAGUAAGUUGGCGGUGUAAGUCCGGGGCUCAACCUCGGCGCUACCGCCAAAACUAUUAGACUGUAGUGCAGGAGAGAUGAGUGGAAUACCUGGUGUAGCGGUGGAAUGCGUAGAUAUUAGGAGGAACAUCGAGAGCGAAGGCGACUUACUGGACUGUAACUGACACUGAGGCACGAAAGCGUGGGGAGCAAACAGGAUUAGAUACCCUAGUAGUC
rnacentral:rRNA from 1 species